rnacentral:lncRNA from 1 species
UCACAACCAGGCAGCUGUCCAGGGACCAGGAAUAAUGAGACUCCACCCCCUUCCUUUGGGGACCUGGAGGCCAGAGUCCUUCCCUGCCCUGUCUUCCUUCCCCCAGUGCUCCCUCUGUGGGGAACCCUCCCUAAGUAGUGAGCAUCCAAAAAUGGUUCCGGAGACUGGAAGAAGGGGUUGCCUCCGGGAGAGGCCUGCAUACACUCUUUCCCCACCGUGCUUCUCAGCCCUGGGAUCUAGCCGGGAUCCUGAGCCAGGCUAUGGGAACGCGUCAUUCAUGCUGGUUAUUAUUGCUGUUACUGUUACCUCGAAGAACCCCCGGAGAAGGAUGGUGCUAACAAACUCACCGUCUCCUCAGCUCUGCUCCACGGCUGUGUCCACCCCCCCCCCAUCUCUCCAUGCCUGGACACAUGCCUGCACCUUCCAACUGCUCUUCCAUGGCUCAUCCUGGCCUCUGCUUCUGCUGCUUCGUUCACUUGGUGCCCACCCUCUGGUCUCUACCAAUCAAUCACCCCUCAGCUUUCAGGAUUCCACGUCCCCAGGAAAACUUUUCUCAGGGCCCCCGAGAAGCUCUAAGAGUGGUGCUUUUGCUUCUCGAAUUGGUGGCACUUAUGUAUCGGAGCAUGUGUGUGUUUGGUAAACCAAUGAAUGAAAGUGACCUUGGGCAAAAUAUUUCCUUUCUGGGACUCAGUUUCCUCCCUUUAAAUCAAGGGCCUCAAACUCAGUGGGCCAUGUACUGAAGGGCCAGUCAUUCUCUGGGCAACUAGCUAGGGCUGCCAAAGCAGGAGUCUGAGCUUAGGGUUGCAGGCAUGGGGAGGAAUAAGAGCCCCUCACACUAGCAGUGCAUGGGGAACUGCUUUUUUCAGACAGG